AUUGAACGCUGGCGGCAUGCCUUACACAUGCAAGUCGAACGGCAGCACGGGGCAACCUGGUGGCGAGUGGCGAACGGGUGAGUAAAGUAUCGGAACGUACCAUUUAGUGGGGGAUAACGUAGCGAAAGUUACGCUAAUACCGCAUACUCUCUCCGGAGGAAAGCAGGGGAUCGCAAGACCUUGCGCUGAUUGAGCGGCCGAUAUCAGAUUAGCUAGUUGGUGAGGUAAAGGCUCACCAAGGCGACGAUCUGUAGCGGGUCUGAGAGGAUGAUCCGCCACACUGGAACUGAGACACGGUCCAGACUCCUACGGGAGGCAGCAGUGGGGAAUUUUGGACAAUGGGCGCAAGCCUGAUCCAGCCAUGCCGCGUGAGUGAAGAAGGCCUUCGGGUUGUAAAGCUCUUUCGGCCGGGAAGAAAUCGCAUGGGUUAAUACCCUGUGUGGAUGACGGUACCGGAAUAAGAAGCACCGGCUAACUACGUGCCAGCAGCCGCGGUAACAC
rnacentral:rRNA from 1 species